rnacentral:rRNA from 9 species
CAACUUUCAGCAAUGGAUCUCUUGGCUCUCGCAUCGAUGAAGAACGCAGCGAAUUGCGAUAUGUAAUGUGAAUUGCAGAUCUACAGUGAAUCAUCGAAUCUUUGAACGCACAUUGCGCUCCUCGGUGUUCCGAGGAGCAUGCCUGUUUGAGUGUCAGUA